AACGAACGCUGGCGGCAGGCUUAACACAUGCAAGUCGAACGCAUCCUUCGGGGUGAGUGGCAGACGGGUGAGUAACGCGUGGGAACGUGCCCUUCAGUUCGGGAUAACCCAGGGAAACUUGGGCUAAUACCGGAUACGUGCGAGAGCAGAAAGAUUUAUCGCUGAAGGAUCGGCCCGCGUCUGAUUAGCUAGUUGGUGGGGUAAUGGCCCACCAAGGCGACGAUCAGUAGCUGGUCUGAGAGGAUGAUCAGCCACAUUGGGACUGAGACACGUCCCAAACUGCUACGGGAGGCAGCAGUGGGGAAUAUGGGAGAAUGGGCGCAAGCCUGUUCCAGCCAUGCCGCGUGAGUGAUGAAGGCCUUAGGGUUGUAAAGCUCUUUCGUCCGGGACGAUAAUGACGGUACCGGAAGAAGAAGCCCCGGCUAACUUCGUGCCAGCCGCCGCCGUAA
rnacentral:rRNA from 1 species